UACGGAGGAUGCAAGCGUUAUCCGGAAUGAUUGGGCGUAAAGCGUCCGUAGGUGGCUGUGUAAGUCUGCUGUUAAAUAGUGAGGCUCAACCUCAUAAAGGCAGUGGAAACUACACGGCUAGAGUGCGUUCGGGGCAGAGGGAAUUCCUGGUGUAGCGGUGAAAUGCGUAGAGAUCAGGAAGAACACCGGUGGCGAAAGCGCUCUGCUAGGCCGCAACUGACACUGAGGGACGAAAGCUAGGGGAGCGAAUGGG
rnacentral:rRNA from 1 species